AUGGCGGGUAGGGAGGAGGAGGAGGAGAGGUGGACGAUGAGGCCGUGCACCGCCGUCAGGUCUACGAUGGCCGGCGACCAUGGUCCGGCGACGCGGGUUGUCUCCAAGUCCAAGAGGGGGAAGGCGGUGGCGCGGUCCAGCCGCAAGAAGGGUGAGCGGAGGCCCGAGUGUGCGGCGGCGGGAGCAGGAGAUCGGGCGUUGCCGGAUCCACACGGGAAGGCUGCGAUGCCGACCAAGAAGGUUGUCGGCGCGGCGGCGGCAGCACAGGCUGGAGGCAAAGGGAAGCGUCCGCUCAAGAAAAGCGAGAUCAGGACCAUAAUCGCGCUGAAGCCGGAGCCUUUCCCCGAAGACGACUACCUGGACGGCAUGGCCAAGUACUACCCGCCGGAGUGGCUCGAGCAGAAGAAGAGGGAGCACGCACAAGACGCCGCGUAUUUCGGGAAGAUUGACGCCGACUACGAGGACUUCCGGAAGAAGGUGAUCGACGGGGUCAAGGAGAAGGGCUACUUCGAGGUCGACGAGGGCUACAUGGAGAAGAAGCCCGAUCAACACCCAAAGCCACAACUGCAGAAGGUCGAUUUAAGUGAACUCAUGCGCUUUGCUGCUACCCCUGAAGAAGAGUUGCGGCGGCGAGGUGGUAAUGGUUAUCAUGAGUACUCUACUGAUGAAGAGGAUGAUGCUGUUCUGGCUCAUGUGCGUGAUGAAGACGAUGAUGAUGACUUUCUGAGUGAUUCUUCUGUGAGCGAUGAGGAGAAUGCUCAAACCGAGGGAGCGGAUGUUCACAAGGUUGCUGCUAUUGUGGCCAGCUGA
rnacentral:rRNA from 1 species